UCGCUAAGCUCCAUGUGUUUGGAAAUUUCUCUGACCAGUGCUUGUUCUGCUAAAGGAAGAAGAGCUCAAGCUGCACUCCUUGUUUCCAGGAUCCCAUCCAGAAUACAUUACCUUUAGUCAUCAUGUCUCCUGUGGCUCUUCUUGGCUGUGACAGUUUCUCAGCUUUCCCAGUUUUAAUGAACUUGCCAUUUUCAUCAGAUUGUACCAAGACCUACUAUCAAUAUGACUUAUGACUAGUGGUGCUGACCUUGAUCACCUGGCUGAGGUAGUUCUUGUCAGGCUUCUCCACUGUCGAGUUGCUCUCCCCAUCCCCCUUUUCCAUAUUGUACUCUUUGAAAGAAAGUCACUAUAUGCAGCCCUUCCUUAAAAAUAUUAAAAUGAACUAGCUUAA
rnacentral:lncRNA from 1 species